rnacentral:rRNA from 1 species
UACGUAGGGGGCUAGCGUUGUCCGGAAUCAUUGGGCGUAAAGAGCGUGUAGGCGGUCCGGUAAGUCCGCUGUGAAAGUCGGGGGCUCAACCCUCGAAUGCCGGUGGAUACUGUCGGGCUAGAGAGCGGAAGAGGCGAGUGGAAUUCCUGGUGUAGCGGUGAAAUGCGCAGAUAUCAGGAGGAACACCAAUGGCGAAGGCAGCUCGCUGGGACGGUACUGACGCUGAGGCGCGAAAGCGUGGGGAGCAAACAGG